rnacentral:rRNA from 1 species
GGCUCAGGAUGAACGCUAGCGGCAGGCUUAACACAUGCAAGUCGAGGGGCAUCGGGAGUAGCAAUACUGCCGGCGACCGGCGCAAGGGUGCGUAACGCGUGAGCAACAUGCCCGUAUCAGGGGGAUAAUCCAUGGAAACGUGGUCUAAUACCCCAUAGUAAUUAUGUAAGGCAUCUUAUAUAAUUUAAAGCUUUGGUGGAUACGGAUUGGCUCGCGUGACAUUAGCUGGAUGGUAAGGUAACGGCUUACCAUGGCUACGAUGUCUAGGGGUUCUGAGAGGAAGGUCCCCCACACUGGAACUGAGACACGGUCCAGACUCCUACGGGAGGCAGCAGUGAGGAAUAUUGGACAAUGGAUGGAAAUCUGAUCCAGCCAUGCCGCGUGCAGGAAAGACGGCCCUAUGGGUUGUAAACUGCUUUUGUAUGGGAGCAAUAAGGGCUACGUGUAGUCCGAUGAGAGUACCAUACGAAUAAGCACCGGCUAACUCCGUGCCAGCAGCUGC